GACGCUGCUUGCAGGACUUUUUUUUUUUCCUCCUGCAAGCGCACCGUCCCAGUGUGAAAGCACUCAGGCUUUCACACUACGGAGGCUUGAGAGGUUCUUUUUAGGCGCUAUUUUUAGCGCUAAAACGCAUGAAAAUCACCUUCAGUGUGAAACGGGGCUAAAAGAUAUCCUUAUUCCAAACAUAAUCCAUCCACAUCCACUACUUAAUGGCCCUGUAAUAUAUUUGUUAUUAAAUUGUUAGUGCUUUUCUGUCUGCUUAAUGUUCUCGAUGAACUUCCGAGCCUCUCCUUUUCCACCCUUCACUUGUUUGAAACAAGCAACGCAUGUUAGUUAGGAUCAUGUGCACUGCUCUAUGCACACUACAAAUCCUGUAGUCCAAAGCCCAUAGGACUGUAUAUAGGAAAGUAGAGGAGCAAACAAAAAAAAAAGGCUGUGAGCAACACAAGAGACUUUGAUUUAAAAAUACAUACUUGAAUAUGAAUAUAUAUAUAUAUUUUUUAUUUUAUUUACUUUUUUAAAUCAAAGUAGUGUCACUUUAGGUCCCCAAAGUCAAAAUGAUUUCACAAGUGUGGGUGCUGCUCUUAAAGUGGAGCUGUUCAAGGAUGUGCGAUUCUGUACAGCUAGUCAAGCGAUUUAAACAAGUCUGCCAUACAGGACCAUCGCUCUAUUACUUUCUGGUUCAUCUGAAACGCCAUCAUCUCCUUGCUAAAUGGAUAGCAGUGCUUAUGUGUUUUCUUUGUCCAGUGAGCAGCCUGGAGGAAGAGAGGCAACAGGGGAAGCAGAACAGGGCACAAGGUGCUUCCCCUGCAUAGCUGCAUGCUGUGGCAGAGGAGGGCAAACCACAAGACUAGCUGAACAGUUGCAAAUACUUUAGCGUGAAAAAUAGUAUAAACAUACAUUUCAGCUUUAUUAUAAUACAGGAUUUAUAUAGCGCCAACAGUUUGCACAGCGCUUUACAACAUGAGGGCAAUUACAAUACAGUUCAAUUUUUAAAUCCAAAUCAUUUCUUCUUUCAAUAUUUAAUUGUAUUUUUAUUUUUAUUAUAUGUGAACACUGUACAGAUGUUGUAUUAUACCAUUUAUUUUUUGUAUAUAGGUCUUAUUAUAUGAAUGUUUUCAAUGUAAUAAAGAAAUGUUCAAAACUUUUAAA